CAGUCGCCGCGGUAAUACGUAGGUGGCAAGCGUUGAUCGGAAUUACUGGGCGUAAAGCGUGCGCAGGCGGUUCGUUAAGACAGAUGUGAAAUCCCCGGGCUUAACCUGGGAACUGCAUUUGUGACUGGCGGGCUAGAGUAUGGCAGAGGGGGGUAGAAUUCCACGUGUAGCAGUGAAAUGCGUAGAGAUGUGGAGGGAUACCGAUGGCGAAGGCAGCCCCCUGGGCCAAUACUGACGCCCAUGCACGAAAGCGUGGGGAGCAAACAGGAUUAGAUACCCGAGUAGUCCCUGUCUCUUAUAC
rnacentral:rRNA from 1 species